rnacentral:rRNA from 1 species
CCUACGGGAGGCAGCAGUGGGGGAUAUUGCACAAUGGGGGGAACCCUGAUGCAGCGACGCCGCGUGGGUGAAGAAGCGCCUCGGCGCGUAAAGCCCUGUCAGCAGGGAAGAAAAUGACGGUACCUGAAGCAGAAGCCCCGGCUAACUACGUGCCAGCAGCCGCGGUAAUACGUAGGGGGCAAGCGUUAUCCGGAUUUACUGGGUGUAAAGGGGGCGAAGACGGCGAUGCAAGCCAGGAGUGAAAGCCCGGGGCCCAACCCCGGGACUGCACUUGGAACUGCGUGGCUGGAGUGCAGGAGGGGCAGGCGGAAUUCCUGGUGUAGCGGUGAAAUGCGUAGAUAGCAGGAGGAACACCGGUGGCGAAGGCGGCCUGCUGGACUGCAACUGACGUUGAGGCCCGAAAGCGUGGGGAGCAAACAGGAUUAGAUACCCUGGUAGUC